UACGGGGGGGGCAAGCGUUGUUCGGAAUUACUGGGCGUAAAGGGCUCGUAGGCGGCCAACUAAGUCAGCCGUGAAAUCCCUCGGCUUAACCGGGAACUGCGUCUGAUACUGGAUGGCUUGAGGUUGGGAGAGGGAUGCGGAAUUCCAGGUGUAGCGGUGAAAUGCGUAGAUAUCUGGAGGAACGCCGGUGGCGAAGGCGGCAUCCUGGACCAAUUCUGACGCUGAAUAGCGAAAGCCAGGGGAGCAAACGGGG
rnacentral:rRNA from 1 species